rnacentral:rRNA from 1 species
CCCUUAGAUGUUCUGGGCCGCACGCGUGCUACACUGAGUGGAUCAGCGGGUCAGGUUGCGCGAAAGCGUUUCCUAAUCUUUAAAUCCGCUCGUGAUGGGGAUUGACGGUUGCAAUUUUCUGUCAUGAACGAGGAAUACCUUGUAAGCGCGGGUCAUCAUCCCGCGCUGAAUACGUCCCUGCCCUUUGUACACACCGCCCGUCGCACCUACCGAUUGAAUGGUCCGGUGAAGUCUUCGGACUGCAGUCACCUCGAGUGAUCGCGGAAAGUUGAGUAAACCUUACCAUUUAGAGGAAGGUGAAGUCGUAACA